CUGCUGCCUUCCGUAGGAGUCUGGGCCGUAUCUCAGUCCCAAUGUGGCCGGCCAACCUCUCAGUCCGGCUACUGAUCGUCGCCUUGGUGGGCCGUUACCCCACCAACUAGCUAAUCAGACGCGAGGCCAUCUUUCGGCGAUAAAUCUUUGACAUUCAGACCAUGCGGCCCAAAUGUAUCAUGCGGUAUUAGCAGUCGUUUCCAACUGUUGUCCCCCUCCGAAAGGCAGGUUCCUCACGCGUUACUCACCA
rnacentral:rRNA from 1 species